GAUGAAGAACGUAGCGAAAUGCGAUACUUGGUGUGAAUUGCAGAAUCCCGUGAACUAUCGAGUCUUUGAACGCAAGUUGCGCCCGAAGCCAUUAGGCCGAGGGCACGCCUGCCUGGGCGUCACACGUCGUUGCCCCCCCAUCUACUCCUUCGGGAUUGCGGGGGGCGGAUGAUGGCCUCCCGUGCGCCUCGUCGCGCGGUUGGCAUAAAUGCCAAGUCCUCGGCGACGCACGCCACGACAAUCGGUGGUUGCGAAACCUCGGUUGCCCGUCGUGUGCGGUCGUCGCGCAUCGAGGGCUCGAAAAAAUUGCCGGGCUCCGGCUCGGCUUUCAACGCGACCCCAGGUCAGGCGGGGUUACCCGCUGAAUUUAAGCAUAUCAAUAAGCGGAGGA
rnacentral:misc_RNA from 1 species